UAUUACAGUAGGAACAGAGGCAACAGUUACAUGGGUAGAUGGCAGGGAUAGAAAAGAUUUUAGUUUUGAUACAUUGAAUUUGACAUGCUUUUUGAAAAUCUUCAGAUGGUGAUGUACAAACUACUGCAGGAACAUACGAGGAAAGAUGAGAGAAUCCACAGACCCUUUGAAGGAAGCAGAUUGCUCCUGCAGGGCCUAGGAGACAGCCCAAACACUGGGUCCUUAGGGAGAGGUGCCAGAGGAGCUGGAAAAAGGCCACAGGGAGAAGGAAGGCUCCAGCUGAACUUGAUUGACCCAUCAUUUGGAUGUCCCAAAACCACAGAUGCAAUAGAAGAAUGGAACAAAUUUAUACAUUUUGUCAAUGAAAACUUUAUCUUC
rnacentral:lncRNA from 1 species